GACGGAGGGUGCAAGCGUUAUUCGGAAUCAUUGGGCGUAAAGGGCGUGUAGGCGGCCGGUUAAGUCAGGCGUGAAAGCCCAGGGCUCAACCCUGGAAGUGCGCUUGAAACUGAUCGGCUUGAGUCCGGGAGAGGGAAGCGGAAUUCCUGGUGUAGAGGUGAAAUUCGUAGAUAUCAGGAGGAACACCGGUGGCGAAGGCGGCUUCCUGGACCGAGACUGACGCUGAGGCGCGACAGCGUGGGGAGCAAACCGG
rnacentral:rRNA from 1 species